rnacentral:rRNA from 1 species
UACGGAGGGUGCGAGCGUUGUCCGGAAUCACUGGGCGUAAAGGGCGCGUAGGCGGCAUGCCAAGCGUGCGGUGAAAGUCCGGGGCUCAACCCCGGAUCUGCCGUGCGGACUGGUUUGCUAGAGCACUGUAGAGGCGAGUGGAAUUCCGGGUGUAGCGGUGGAAUGCGUAGAGAUCCGGAAGAACACCGGUGGCGAAGGCGGCUCGCUGGGCAGUGGCUGACGCUGAGGCGCGACAGCGUGGGGAGCGAACAGG